rnacentral:misc_RNA from 1 species
AAUAUCAUUAUAUGCAUACAACCCUCCUUGGAUGUAUAAUGACAAAGGAUAACAUAAUAGUAAGAUCUUCUUGACUGGCUUAAAUGUCUUAUAGAAAAUAUAACCUACCAUUACACAUUUUGUAUAUUAAAUCAAUUAACUUCAUUUGAUAUGGACACUUAAAGCGGACGCAGUGGUCCUAGUGAUCGUGACCUCAACUAAAAUAACAUACAUUGAGAUAAAAAUCCUGUGUAAUGGUGCUGUACACCUGGUACGCUUAAGAACCAGUGAAGGUUCUGGAAUCGGCGUAUUUUCUCCAACUAACAAUUACUAACCGUUUUCUGGAGGAGUCGCCCAUGGCGACUAUAGAUAAGCUUACAAACAAACAACCAAAAAAAAAAACAACCUGAUACAGACAUUGUCUUCUGAACCGGGAAAUCAGUUUGAUAAAAAAAUACAGGAUGUUUAAAUAGUUUAUACCGUUAUAUCGUUAGCAGAUAUCGUUUCCCUUGUACCGUGAUUGACUACCUGGUACACCUAAAACAGGAAAUAAAAUCAUACAGAUAGGAUUUAUUUCGUCAGUACGUCAAUAUUAAAGAGUCGACCAAGACCCACCUAUUGGUAUAGAUAUGAACCAAACAGAGGGUGAUGACACUUGAAAGGCUAAAGAAAGCGGAGAAAAAGUUACAUGAAGCGGAACAAAAAAACAAAGUUCUUGUUGAAUCGAUAACAGCACUGAAAGAACAAGUUGAAAAAGCUAUGAAAUCUAAGGAUGACCUUGAGGAAAGUUUGAGGAAAAAAGCAAAGCAGCAUGCUGAUUUAGUUGAGACGUACUGCAACAUUGAAAAAGAAAAUCAUAUUUUGAAUCAAAAGGUUUUUCAGCUAGCGAAAGGUGAAAAUGAUAAACUGAGGAAGGAAAGCAAUAAACAGGGAGAGAGCAUACAGCAUUUACAAGCAGUGGUAAACAGACGAGAAAAGGACAUCAAAGCCAAAGACCAUGGCUAUCAAAGAUUGUUGAAAGCUUCUCAAGCUGAUAAAAAGGAGUUUGAGGCGCGACUAGAGAAAAAGGAAGAACAGAUAUAUGCUUUGAAUAAAAGACUUUCAGAAUUUGAAAAUACGAAAGCACGAUAUGCUACUGAAUUAAAAAGAUUAAAAGAGUAUGAAACGAUACAUCAGACUUUACUAGAUGACAUUCGUCGACAGGAAAUUCAGUUGAAGAACGCUGAAAUGGACAAGUUGUCAUACAAAAAGACUAUGCAGUCGGUUGAACGGGCAAAACAAACACUUUGGGAAGAAAAUCAAAGUUUAUUACUUCGGUUAAGCAAGAUAGCAGGUGCCAAUCUAACUCACGAAAAUCCAAAUAUUGCGGAUCUUAGCGAUGGCAAACGACCAACACAACUUGCUGAAGAAUACUCCGAGCUCUACGACAACGAAUGGACUGACGCUUUCGAAGACCAUGGCUAUCAAAGAUUGUUGAAAGCUUCUCAAGCUGAUAAAAAGGAGUAUGAAGCGCGACUAGAGAAAAGGGAAGAACAGAUAUAUGCUUUGAAUAAAAGACUUUCAGAAUUUGAAAAUACGAAAGCACGAUAUGCUACUGAAUUAAAAAGAUUAAAAGAGUAUGAAACGAUACAUCAGACUUUACUAGAUGACAUUCGUCGACAGGAAAUUCAGUUGAAGAACGCUGAAAUGGACAAGUUGUCAUACAAAAAGACAAUGCAGUCGGUUGAACGGGCAAAACAAACACUUUGGGAAGAAAAUCAAAGUUUAUUACUUCGGUUAAGCAAGAUAGCAGGUGCCAAUCUAACUCACGAAAAUCCAAAUAUUGCGGAUCUUAGCGAUGGCAAACGACCAACACAACUUGCUGAAGAAUACUCCGAGCUCUACGACAACGAAUGGACUGACGCUUUCGAAGCGAUAGAAAUUGAGGAUGAUAAAGAAAAAACAACAUUGAUGUUGAAGAUUCUACAGAGAGCAAAUAAGAUUUGUCACGAGCUGUCAAAUGCACAUCUGCAAAAUAUAAGGGAGAGUCUUUGUUCAUUAACUCUGCAUAUACAUGUUCCAUCGGGUAACAUAGACAAACGACAAACUAAAGAACUGGUAAAUGGUACCGACAACCGACAGACGGAGAUGAAUGUAAAUCCAAAGGCAAGUCUUAUUUACUUGAAUCAACAAAAGCCGAACGAAGAACUGAUUCACGCGGAAACCUCCACCGAAAAAAAUGUUGACGAUGAAAAUGUCAAUAAGGAUCAAAGUACUAGUGAGCCAGUGUCGGAUCAACAGCAAAGUCAGAGUGUUGAUCCAUUAAGAGAAGAUGGUCAUGCAAAACAUACCAGCCAUAAAAUGCAUUUGGUGGAAAAGCAAGAGGAAAUUGAUCAUUCUAACAAAUCAUCUGCUUCAGGAAAAAGUGCUGCUGGUCAGGGCAUACAUGUUGAAGAAGAAGGAUAUCGUUUUGAAAAUUGUGGGCAACGCUGAACAAAUCAAUGACGAUGUCGUUUCUGACAAGACGCAAGUGGUUCCUAACAAGUCGUCACUACAGGUUUCUGACAAGAUACAAAAAGUUCAUGACAAGAAAAAUGUUGCUCCCCAUCAGAUGCUUAAAGUGGUCUAUGAUUUCGAAAAAAUGCCAAAUGACCAAAAGAAGGUGGUAAUGGAGCUACGGAAGUUCAUCGAAAUCAGAGUUUCAGAUCAGCUGGAGACG